AGCGUAGGAGACAAACGUUAUCCGGAGUUACUGGGCGUAAAGGGCGUGUAGGCGGUUAGGUAAGUCUGGCGUGAAAGCUCUCGGCUAAACCGGGAGAGGUCGUUGGAUACUGGCUGACUAGAGGACGGUAGAGGCGUGUGGAAUUCCGGGUGUAGUGGUGAAAUGCGUAGAGAUCCGGAGGAACACCAGUGGCGAAGGCGACACGCUGGGCCGUACCUGACGCUAAAGCGCGACAGCAUGGGGAGCAAACGGG
rnacentral:rRNA from 1 species